UGUCCAGGGAUGGGAAACGAACCCAUAGUGUUCCGCUUACUGGGCAGAUGCCAUGUCCACUAGGUUACCCUAGGC
rnacentral:tRNA from 1 species